ensembl:lncRNA
CAGGUAGAUCCAAAUGCAGUGUUUAUUAAAGGGUAAUCCAAAAUCAUAAACAGUCCAGGCAGGGGUCAAAACCAAACAUAAACAGUCCAAAACACGAAACACGAACAUCCACUAGGGAACCAGGAAAAAGCAGGGUGACAUGCAACAAGGACUCCGUAACAAUGACAGAAACAACCAGGGUAUUUAUAGACAGGUGCAAACAAGGUAAGUGGUGACAGCUGAACACAAUGAACAGUGAUGAACAGAUAAGGCUAGUGGGAAAUGUAGUUCAGAAGGGGGUGACAAUCAGGGGAAGUGAGACCUCUAGUGGCCACCCAGGGAGACACAGAACAGACACUGUGACAUUAGCCCCCCCUCUAAGGAGCAGCUUCCAGAUGCUCCCCAGAUCAAAAAAAAAACAAAUCAAAAAGACCAGGAGGGAGGUGGACUGGUGGAGGUAGAACAGGGGGAGGGAUGGCGGGCCAGGCCCGUGUAGGAGAACAGGGACCGGCCGUAAUGGCUCCACCGGCAGCCAAGGUGGAUCAGACAGUUCAGGGGGCCAGGGUUGACCCAAAAGUUCAGGGGACCACGAGGGACCAGACAGUUCAGGUGGCCAGGGUGGACCCGAAAGUUCAGGGGACCACGAGGGACCAGGCAGUUCAGGUGGCCACGGUGGAUCAGUCCAUUCUCGUUGUGCAGACGGCCAGGGAGGAAUUCGCCAUUUGAGUGGCCCGAACGGAACCUGCCAAUCGGGGAGCCAGUAAGGAGCAGGCUGUGGCGAUGGCCAGGUCACGGCAUUGGGAACGGCAUCGGGAACGGCCUCAGACAAGGGCACCGCCUCGGGAACGGCCUUGGACACGGGUAUCGCCUCCGGAACCCUCUCGGGCCCCGCAUCGGCCUCCGGAACAGCAUCGGGCACCGCCUCGGGAAUGGCCUCAGGAAUGGCAUCGGACAAGGACGCCGCCUCGGGAACGACCUCGGGCACGACCUUGGGCUCGGCAUCGGGCACCGCCUCGGGAACGGCCUCGGCAUCGGGCACCGCCUCGGGAACGGCCUCGGGAACGGCCUUGGAC